CCUAAUACAUGCAAGUCGAGGGAGAAGUUGCUUUCGGGCAGCAGGAACCGGCGAACGGGUGCGUAACACGUAUGCAACCUACCUAUAACUGGGGGAUAGCCCGAAGAAAUUCGGAUUAAUACCCUAUAAUAUUUACUACUCGCAUGAGUUGGUAUCUUAAAACUCCGGUGGUUAUAGAUGGGCAUGCGGCCUAUUAGUUUGUUAGUGAGGUAACGGCUCACCAAGGCUACGAUAGGUAGGAGGCCUGAGAGGGUGACCCCCCACGCUGGUACUGAGACACGGACCAGACUCC
rnacentral:rRNA from 1 species